rnacentral:lncRNA from 1 species
CCAACGCUUAGCAGCUUAAACUUUUUUUUUUUUCCUCCGUGCAGUUUCUGAGGGCCAGGAACCUGGGUGGUUCUGGCUUAGGGCCUUCCAUAGGUUGUAGCCAAGUUGCUGGCCAGGGCUGCAGUUAUGAUUUGACUGGGGAUGGAGGAUUCACCUCUAACAUGGCAUCUUUCAUGUGGCUGUUGGCUAGAGGCUCAGUUCCUCACUGACUAUUGUCAGGAGGCCACAGUUCCUUGUCACAAGAGACUCCAGAAGGCUACUUGGCAUAACAGCUGGCUUCCCUCAAAAGAAACUAUUCUAAAGAGAGUGACCAAGAGGGAAGUAACAAUGCCUUUUAUGAUCUAGUCUCUGUAUUCACACAUGAUCACUUCUUCUUUAUUCUAUUGGUCAUACAAACCAAUCCAGACACACAGGGACUAACAAGGAUAUGAACACCAGCAGAUGAAGAUCAUCAGUACCAUCUUGGAGGCUGGCUACCACAACACAACCCAGUGAUUCCAUGGAAAGCAGAAAGAAGGACAUAAAGAAACGGAUACUUGGUGACAUCUUUGACUCACUGGAUCAAACCUUGCCUGAAGCUCACAUUUCUGAAAUUUCCAGAUACAAGAACAAAUACUUCCUCUUUAUUGUUUUACUAGAUUUGAGACAAGCUUUAAGUUUCUCAGACUCUUCCUCUUCCUAACAGAUUUAUCAGAAGCUGAAAGCUCUGAUCUUGUUGGGAUGCGGAUCGUGUCAGGAGAAGGCUUACUUUGCACGCUUUUCUUAGUCUGGUUGCCUAACUCAAGAACCUCGGCAUGGCUCUGUUACUUCUCUACUCAGACAAGCAUCCCUGCAGACACUCACUAGGCUAACUCUGUCUUUAUUUUUAGAAUUAGACCUUUACGAGAAGCACAGUUUUGUCUUCAGUUUCCUCUCCCCCCACCCGGAAUGGCCUGAGCCGAAGCCAGCUCCCUCCGAGAAGUCAUUACCGCCUGACUUGCGUUUGAUAUUUAGACACCUUGGUCACAACAUCUUGCAUUCUCUCGGGAUGCUGAUUUCUAACUGCUCUUUGGCCUUUCCUGCAUUGGUCCUCCUCAGGCAGGGGAUCCCUGCUCUUCUAUAUUAGUGAGAAAACCAAGGCUCAGAGAAACUGUGGAUUUUCUAAGGUUUCUUGAGGGCAGAGAGCAUGUUGCAGUCACCUCUGAACCUCCUUCUGCUGAAAGCAACCUACACAUGCUGGCUCCCCGUCCCCUGUCCACC